GGACGGGUGAGUAACGCGUGAGAAUCUGCCCUCAGGACGGGGACAACAGCUGGAAACGGCUGCUAAUACCCGAUGUGCCGAGAGGUGAAACAUUUAUGGCCUGAGGAUGAGCUCGCGUCUGAUUAGCUAGUUGGUGGGGUAAAAGCCUACCAAGGCGACGAUCAGUAGCUGGUCUGAGAGGAUGAUCAGCCACACUGGGACUGAGACACGGCCCAGACUCCUACGGGAGGCAGCAGUGGGGAAUUUUCCGCAAUGGGCGCAAGCCUGACGGAGCAAGACCGCGUGCGGGAGGACGGCCUAUUGGUUGUAAACCGCUUUUGAUAGGGAAGAAGUUCUGACGGUACCUAUCGAAUCAGCAUCGGCUAACUCCGUGCCAGCAGCCGCGGUAAUACGGAGGAUGCAAGCGUUAUCCGGAAUUAUUGGGCGUAAAGCGUCCGUAGGUGGUUGUUCAAGUCUGCUGUUAAAGCGUGCGGCUUAACCGCAUACCAGCAGUGGAAACUGGGCAACUAGAUGUGCGGUAGGGGUCAGGGGAAUUCCCAGUGUAGCGGUGAAAUGCGUAGAUAUUGGGAAGAACACCGGUGGCGAAAGCGCCUGACUGGACCUGCACUGACAUGAGGGAGAAAGCUAGGGG
rnacentral:rRNA from 1 species